GGACGCGAUGGCUGAGCAGGUGACCGAGCUGCUGGCGGCGGAUCUGGACGGUGGGUUCACGGAGCUCGUCCGGGUUCAUGCCAGGAGUGUCCAC
rnacentral:tRNA from 1 species